AAGCCAAAAUGUGCAGUUUUGGCAGCCAAAUAUGUGUCCUCCUGCCACAACCUGAGGGACAGCCAGUGAAAAGUGCAAUGUAAUGUCAAUAAUAUUUCCCAUUUAGUUUUGUUUUGGUUUUCAUACCAUAUCAUGUGUCUUCUCAGUCAGGUUGAGACUGAUCUACUACCAGGUCAUGUGGCUUCUCAGCCAUGUUGAGACUGAUCUACUACCAGGUCAUGUGGCUUCUCAGCCAUGUUGAGACUGAUCUACUACCAGGUCAUGUGGCUUCUCAGCCAUGUUGAGACUGAUCUACUACCAGGUCAUGUGGCUUCUCAGUCAUGUUGAGACUGGUCUACUACCAGGUCAUGUGUCUUCUCAGUCAUGUUGACACUGGUCUACUACCAGGUCAUGUGUCUUCUCAGUCAUGUUGAGACUGGUCUACUACCAGGUCAUGUGUUUUCUCAGUCAUGUUGACACUGGUCUACUACCAGGUCAUGUGUCUUCUCAGUCAUGUUGAGACUGGUCUAUUACCAGGUCAUGUGUCUUCUCAGUCAUGUUGACAGUGGUCUACUACCAGGUCAGGUGUCUUCUCAGUCAUGUUGAAACUGGUCUACUACCAUGUCAUGUGUCUUCUCAGUCAUGUUGAGACUGGUCUACUACCAG
ensembl:lncRNA